rnacentral:rRNA from 1 species
CCUACGGGUGGCAGCAGUGGGGAAUAUUGGACAAUGGGCGAAAGCCUGAUCCAGCAAUGCCGCGUGUGUGAAGAAGGUCUUCGGAUUGUAAAGCACUUUCGACGGGGACGAUGAUGACGGUACCCGUAGAAGAAGCCCCGGCUAACUUCGUGCCAGCAGCCGCGGUAAUACGAAGGGGGCUAGCGUUGCUCGGAAUGACUGGGCGUAAAGGGCGCGUAGGCGGUUUAUGCAGUCAGAUGUGAAAGCCCCGGGCUUAACCUGGGAACUGCAUUUGAUACGCUCAGGCUAGAGGGCGAGAGAGGGUUGUGGAAUUCCCAGUGUAGAGGUGAAAUUCGUAGAUAUUGGGAAGAACACCGGUGGCGAAGGCGGCAACCUGGCUCGAUACUGACGCUGAGGCGCGAAAGCGUGGGGAGCAAACAGGAUUAGAUACCCGCGUAGUC